rnacentral:rRNA from 1 species
GAUGAACGCUGGCGGCGUGCCUAAUACAUGCAAGUCGAACGCUGGAGAUCUAGCUUGCUAGAUCGAAGGAGUGGCGAACGGGUGAGUAAUACAUAAGCAACCUACCCACGAAGACUGGGAUAAUCUCUGGAAACGGGGACUAAUACCGGAUAGGUAAUCGGAAGGCAUCUUCUGGUUAUUAAAGGUUAAAACCACUGGUGGAUGGGCUUAUGGCGCAUUAGUUAGUUGGUGAGGUAACGGCCCACCAAGACGAUGAUGCGUAGCCGGCCUGAGAGGGUGAACGGCGACAUUGGGGAUGGGCCACGGACCAGGGACAGACGGGACGGCGAAGUAGGGAAUAGUAGGCAAUGGGGGGAAAUAUGAACGAACAGCGCCGAGCGAGUGCAGACAGCGUUCGGGGAGUAAUGCUCUGGUGAAAGGGAAAAACGGCAGAUAGAGAAUAUGUAAGUGACGGUACCUUAAGAAGAAGCCACGGCUAACUCCGUG